UACGUAGGGUCCGAGCGUUGUCCGGAGUUACUGGGCGUAAAGCGCGCGCAGGCGGCCUGCCAAGUCCGGCGUGAAAGCCCCCGGCUCAACCGGGGAGGGUCGUUGGAGACUGGUGGGCUUGAGGGCGGUAGGGGCCAGUGGAAUGCCCGGUGUAGUGGUGAAAUGCGUAGAGAUCGGGCGGAACACCUGUGGCGAAGGCGGCUGGCUGGGCCGACCCUGACGCUGAGGCGCGAAGGCGUGGGGAGCGAACGGG
rnacentral:rRNA from 1 species